UUUUUUCGAGGAUUGAGGAAAACUUACAUUUUCGUGGAUAUUUAAUUCGUGGUUUUGCCAAUCUCUGCAUACAAAGCCUAUAAAUAAUUUAUAAUUCAUUGAACAUUUAAAUUUGUGGUUCAACUGUACCCACAAAAACCACGAUAAUUGGUAUCCUACUGUACCGGGGUUGCUUCCCCUUAGACUUAGUACUGGUAGAACAUAUAUAGCCAGUCUUAAUCAACUGAGCUAGGGAAUCGAUUCUUUGGCUCAGUGGGUUAACGCACUGACUGCCACGCAGGCGACCAGGUUUCGAAUCCUGGUGGUGACGAUAUAAAUUCGUAGAGUCGAUACAUGCUCUCCAGUUACACUACGAAUAAAAAUAAAUCCAC
rnacentral:lncRNA from 1 species